UACGUAGGGUGCAAGCGUUAAUCGGAAUUACUGGGCGUAAAGCGUGCGCAGGCGGUUUUGUAAGACUGUCGUGAAAUCCCCGGGCUUAACCUGGGAAUGGCGAUGGUGACUGCAAGGCUAGAGUUUGGCAGAGGGGGGUAGAAUUCCACGUGUAGCAGUGAAAUGCGUAGAGAUGUGGAGGAACACCGAUGGCGAAGGCAGCCCCCUGGGUCAAAACUGACGCUGAGGAGCGAAAGCGUGGGGAGCGAACAGG
rnacentral:rRNA from 1 species